UCCACGGUGUCUAAGCAGGACCUGGCCGCC
rnacentral:piRNA from 1 species